rnacentral:rRNA from 1 species
CCCAUCCUCCUACUUUAGGCAGCCUUUAUGAAUAUUGUUCCAUGGCCGAGAUUCUUACCCAGCCACUUCUCUUGAGGGAUUACUUCCCUACGGUUUUUCAACCUCUUUUUUCCUGGAGCAACUUUCUCCACGUGUUUCUCUUUGCGAGUCCCUUCCGAAAAAGCCUCUUCUAACUCCUUUCCCUCAGCCGCUUUCCUCCGGAGGAUUCUCUCGUUAUCCGGAUUUAUUGGGUUUAAAGGUUGCGCAGGCGGAAUGUCAAGGAAGAGGUAAAAUUUAGGGGAUCAACCCAGUCGUGCCGUUGAAAAUGGCGUUCUUGAGUGAGCGAGAAGGAUGCGGAAGGAGGGGUGUAGCGGUGAAAUGCAUAGAGAGAAAGCAGAACGAAGAGGGCGAAGGAAGAAGACCGGCGCUAAACUGACGCUCAUGCACGAAAGCGUGGGGAUAGAACAGGAUUAGAUACCCGUGUA